UCUUUUCAAAAUAGUCAGGUGGAU
rnacentral:miRNA from 1 species